rnacentral:misc_RNA from 1 species
UCCUCCUUACAGAGGCAGUUUGUUCCGAGUUCCCGACAUUACUCGCUGGCAACAGAACAUGAGGGUCGCGCUCGUUGCGGGACUUAACCCAACAUUUCACAACACGAGCUGACGACAGCCAUGCACCACCUGUGUAUCACCUUCGAAAGCGAUCGCUUUUCGGCGACUUGCAGAUACAUGUCAAGCCCUGGUAAGGUUCUUCGCGUUGCAUCGAAUUAAGCCACAUGCUCCACCGCUUGUGCGGUCCCCGUCAAUUCCUUUGAGUUUUAGCCUUGCGGCCGUACUCCCCAGGCGGGGCGCUUAAUGCGUUAGCUACGGCAUGGAUUCCGUGGAAGGAACCCACACCUAGCGCCCACCGUUUACGGCGUGGACUAC